rnacentral:rRNA from 1 species
UACAGAGGUCUCGAGCGUUGUUCGGAUUCAUUGGGCGUAAAGGGCGCGUAGGCGGCGGGGUAAGUCUGGUGUGAAAUCUCGGAGCUCAACUCCGAAAUUGCACUGGAUACUGCUCUGCUAGAGGGCUGGAGAGGAGAUCGGAAUUCACGGUGUAGCAGUGAAAUGCGUAGAUAUCGUGAGGAAGACCAGUGGCGAAGGCGGAUCUCUGGACAGCUCCUGACGCUGAGGCGCGAAAGCGUGGAGAGCGAACAGG